GGCUGCGAGUCAAAUUUAGUUUUCAUCCUUUAAUGGUGGGAGCUGGCCCAGAUGGCUGCCGCAGCAAGCUCAGCUGUUCUUGGGCUCUGUGUCCCCUGCACUGGGGACAUUAUAACUAGUAACAUUU